rnacentral:rRNA from 1 species
AGUGAACGCUGGCGGUAGGCCUAACACAUGCAAGUCGAACGGCAGCACAGUAAGAGCUUGCUCUUACGGGUGGCGAGUGGCGGACGGGUGAGGAAUACAUCGGAAUCUACUUUUUCGUGGGGGAUAACGUAGGGAAACUUACGCUAAUACCGCAUACGACCUACGGGUGAAAGCAGGGAACUUUGGACCUUUGGCGGAUGGAUGAGGCGAUGUCGGAUUAGCUAGUUGGCGGGGUAAAGGCCCACCAAGGCGACGAUCCGUAGCUGGUCUGAGAGGAUGAUCAGCCACACUGGAACUGAGACACGGUCCAGACUCCUACGGGAGGCAGCAGUGGGGAAUAUUGGACAAUGGGCGCAAGCCUGAUCCAGCCAUACCGCGUGGGUGAAGAAGGCCUUCGAGUUGUAAAGCCCUUUUGUUGGGAAAGAAAAGCAGCAGGUUAAUACCCCGCUGUUCUGACGGUACCCAAAGAAUAAGCACCGGCUAACUUCGUG